CAGAGAGCAGACCCAAAGACAACCACCUGGAAGCAGUCAUAACAACAGAAACAGCAAAUCAAUUUUGAAACAAGGAAUCAUAUUAUCUUAUCACUGGGAAU